rnacentral:rRNA from 5 species
UUAAAUUGAAGAGUUUGAUCAUGGCUCAGAUUGAACGCUGGCGGCAGGCCUAACACAUGCAAGUCGAACGGUAACACAGAGAGCUUGCUCUCGG